rnacentral:rRNA from 1 species
UCGANCGGGAAUCUUCGGAUUCUAGUGGCGGACGGGUGAGUAACGCGUAAGAAUCUAACUUCAGGACGGGGACAACAGUUGGAAACGACUGCUAAUACCCGAUGUGCCGCAAGGUGAAAACUAAUUGGCCUGAAGAAGAGCUUGCGUCUGAUUAGCUAGUUGGUGGGGUAAGAGCCUACCAAGGCGACGAUCAGUAGCUGGUCUGAGAGGAUGAGCAGCCACACUGGGACUGAGACACGGCCCAGACUCCUACGGGAGGCAGCAGUGGGGAAUUUUCCGCAAUGGGCGAAAGCCUGACGGAGCAACGCCGCGUGAGGGAGGAAGGUCUUUGGAUUGUAAACCUCUUUUCUCAAGGAAGAAGUUCUGACGGUACUUGAGGAAUCAGCCUCGGCUAACUCCGUGCCAGCAGCCGCGGUAAUACGGGGGAGGCAAGCGUUAUCCGGAAUUAUUGGGCGUAAAGCGUCCGCAGGUGGUCAGCCAAGUCUGCCGUCAAAUCAGGUUGCUUAACGACCUAAAGGCGGUGGAAACUGGCAGACUAGAGAGCAGUAGGGGUAGCAGGAAUUCCCAGUGUAGCGGUGAAAUGCGUAGAGAUUGGGAAGAACAUCGGUGGCGAAAGCGUGCUACUGGGCUGUAUCUGACACUCAGGGACGAAAGCUAGGGGAGCGAAAGGGAUUAGAUACCCCUGUAGUCCUAGCCGUAAACGAUGGAUACUAGGCGUGGCUUGUAUCGACCCGAGCCGUGCCGAAGCUAACGCGUUAAGUAUCCCGCCUGGGGAGUACGCACGCAAGUGUGAAACUCAAAGGAAUUGACGGGGGCCCGCACAAGCGGUGGAGUAUGUGGUUUAAUUCGAUGCAACGCGAAGAACCUUACCAAGACUUGACAUGUCGCGAACCCU